UAGGGUUUGAUCCUGGCUCAGAUUGAACGCUGGCGGCAGGCUUAACACAUGCAAGUCGAGCGGAUGAAGGUAGCUUGCUACUGGAUUCAGCGGCGGACGGGUGAGUAAUGCUUAGGAAUCUGCCUAUUAGUGGGGGACAACGUUCCGAAAGGAGCGCUAAUACCGCAUACGUCCUACGGGAGAAAGCAGGGGACCUUCGGGCCUUGCGCUAAUAGAUGAGCCUAAGUCGGAUUAGCUAGUUGGUAGGGUAAAGGCCUACCAAGGCGACGAUCUGUAGCGGGUCUGAGAGGAUGAUCCGCCACACUGGGACUGAGACACGGCCCAGACUCCUACGGGAGGCAGCAGUGGGGAAUAUUGGACAAUGGGGGGAACCCUGAUCCAGCCAUGCCGCGUGUGUGAAGAAGGCCUUUUGGUUGUAAAGCACUUUAAGCGAGGAGGAGGCUACCUAGAUUAAUACUUUAGGAUAGUGGACGUUACUCGCAGAAUAAGCACCGGCUAACUCUGUGCCAGCAGCCGCGGUAAUACAGAGGGUGCGAGCGUUAAUCGGAUUUACUGGGCGUAAAGCGUGCGUAGGCGGCCAAUUAAGUCAAAUGUGAAAUCCCCGAGCUUAACUUGGGAAUUGCAUUCGAUACUGGUUGGCUAGAGUAUGGGAGAGGAUGGUAGAAUUCCAGGUGUAGCGGUGAAAUGCGUAGAGAUCUGGAGGAAUACCGAUGGCGAAAGCAGCCAUCUGGCCUAAUACUGACGCUGAUGUACGAAAGCAUGGGGAGCAACAGGA
rnacentral:rRNA from 1 species